rnacentral:rRNA from 1 species
CUACGGGGGGCAGCAGUGAGGAAUUUUGCGCAAUGGGGGAAACCCUGACGCAGCAACGCCGUGUGAGUGAAGAAGGCUCUCGGGUCGUAAAGCUCUGUCAAAUGGGAAAAAAUCUUUUGGAUUAAGAGUCAAAAAGAGUGAUGGUACCAUUAGAGGAAGCACCGGCUAACUCCGUGCCAGCAGCCGCGGUAAUACGGAGGGUGCAAGCGUUGUUCGGAAUUAUUGGGCGUAAAGGGCGUGCAGGCGGUGUGGUAAGUCAGAUGUGAAAGCCUUCUGCUCAACGGAAGAAGUGCAUUUGAAACUGCCGCACUUGAGGAUGGGAGAGGAGAGUGGAAUUCCCAGUGUAGAGGUGAAAUUCGUAGAUAUUGGGAGGAACACCCGUGGCGAAGGCGACUCUCUGGACCAAUACUGACGCUGAGACGCAAAAGCGUGGGGAGCGAACAGGAUUAGAUACCCGCGUAGUC